rnacentral:rRNA from 1 species
AUUGAACGCUAGCGGGAUGCCUUACACAUGCAAGUCGAACGGAGUGGCGAACGGGGGAGUAAUGUAUCGGAACGUGCCCAGUAGCGGGGGAUAACUACGCGAAAGCGUAGCUAAUACCGCAUACUAUUGGACGGGCCGAUAGCGGAUUAGCUAGUGGGGGGGGUAACGGCAAACCAAGGAGAAGAUCCGUAGCGGGUUUGAGAGGACGACCGGCCAACCUGGGACUGAGAAACGGCCCAGACACCUACGGUAGGCAGCAGGGGGGAAUGUUGGACAAGGGGGGAAACCCUGAUCCAGCCAUCCCGCGUGUGCGAUGAAGGCCUUCGGGUUGUAAAGCACUUUUGGCAGGAAAGCGGUACCUGCAGAAUAAGCACCGGCUAACUACGUGCCAGCAGCCGCGGUAAUAC